CCACCCCCCAAAAUCUCACUCCUCCAAAACUGUAAUAAAAGAUUAAAAAAAAAAAUGAAUAUCAAAUUUUGAACCAAAAUAACUGACCGUCUCUAGAACAAAUGGCAAAAGGCUUGGUGGUUGGUAUUCGAGACCUAAGUUCGAAUCCUAGUUGAUUCACAUUUUCAGCUAAGUUUAUUUCUAAAUGAAAUAAACGAAAUGGAUAGCAUGCUACCUAUCUCUCAAAAAUAUUUUGGACCAGAAUACCUCUCCAACAGUUAAUUUUUUUUCUAACUAUUGGAAAGCAUUUUAAUUUGUUUUAUAAAAAUAUAAAGAGCCGGUCCGGGCCGCGCGGUCCGGGGGGCGCUGUGAUGGGCUCGAGGUCGACGAAAGCCGGGCCAGGCCAAAUCCAUAGCCGGCUCAAGCUCCGCGAAACCUCGGCCCGUUUCGGCCUGGGUAAUGUGGACCCCUCACUACGCCCCUAUUUGUAGGGAACUAGGGAUAGAUGCAACUUUUAUAACUGAAUAAGGGUAUACAUCUUACACCUUGGGAUUCGAGAGUUGAUAAAUUUUCUUAGAAAUUUAGUAAAAAAGAAAAAUUUAAGAAAACUAGCUGAGAAAUAUAGUCUGUAAGAAAAAAUAUGUAUAAAAUUUACACUCUAAGUUAGGAUAUAUAUGGUUAAUAUUGCUCUUUUUUUUCUUUGAGUUGUAAGCUCUCCAGAGCUUUUUUUUGCAUUUGCCAUCUUAAAAAAAAUUAUAGAAUUAUAAUUGCAGAAAUGUUCCUCUUCUUAUCCAGCAAGCAGAUUGGGCCAGUUAUGAUAUUUAAGUUGAGCAUGAUAAUUUAUUUACUGUAUUUUUUUUAAUUUAGCAACUUAAAAAAUAUAUAUUUAAAAAGAUUACGUGACUAAACAAAAUAGAACACAUUAAUUCAAUUGAUAUAAUAUAUAAUAUAGUAAAUAAAUUAUCGUGUUCAACUUAAAAUUUUUGGUUCGUCAUCUUUGCUCACAAUUGCACUUGCGUUGAUAAAAAGAGGGCCAUUCUUGUAAUUAUAGUUUUGUAGGAAGCUAUUUGUAAACAUAAGAAAUCUGAGGGGUCUAAAUGCAAAAAACUGCUGCUCUACAGUCUACAUAUCUCGCUCCCCACUUUUUCUCUCUCCCUCUCUCUCUCUCUCAAGCGGGAGCAGCACAAAUCCAUUCUCUCUCUAAUAUCUCAAGUACUCUUCGAUCCCUUCUCCUUUUCUCCUCAUUUUCCAACGAUUUCACUCGUUGGGUUUUGAAAUUACCACCCGAAAAGGGGAUUUUGCAACAAAAAAAAUUGAUUUUGAGGGGUUUUUUUUAUCGCAAAACCGCAAUUUUUCGAGGUGGUUUUGUGCUUUCUUUUUAUUUUUUCCCUGAAAUUAUUGAGAAUUUUUUUUUGCAGGUAUGAUGUGAUUGAUUGCGCCCUCAAAUGGCGCAGUUUGUCACUGAGUCAUUAAUACAAGCAUGUUGCAGGGUAUUGUUCUUGUCCUUUGAUGUUUUUUGUGGUAUUAUAUGUUUUCUCCUCUUUGAUGUUUUGGCUUAGUAUGGAUAAUAAUAGGUUUCUUUCUUUGUAAGAAGUACUUAGACAAUGCCUUAGGGAGUGUUUGGUUCCUCAUAAAAUCAUAAAAAAACUAUUUUUUGGAAAAAAAAAAGAAUAAAAAAUUUUCAUGAGGAACAUCCUAUUCAUAAUUUUCAUUUUUCGGAUUAAAAAUCUGGAAAAUAAAACAAAAAAACGAAUUUUCAUGAAAUUUGGAACCCUGAAGAUUUUGGACUAUUUUGCGAUUUGCUAGUGGGGAAAAAGCUCUAAGGCCAUCAAAAGUUUUGCCCGAUUGUAAGCGUCGCCUAAAGAUUAAAAAGUAUAAAUUUAUCACGUGAACAAUCAGUUUAUGUCACCUAACUUUAGUAAUUUUUGAAAAUCUACCUGCUAUUAACACGCGACUGUUACAUGAUAGAGAAGAAAAAUAUUUUUUUAAAGUAUUCCAAUUGUUUCUGAUGUUUAAAGUUUCGAUUGUGAUUUGUAACUUGGCUGAAGUUUCGGAAGUUCUGGCAAUCCCAAGUUUAAAGCUUGGGCGGCGAUCUGUAGUUUGUUUAAGUUUAAGGGGGAUUUGGCAUGGUUUUGUUUCGUGUCAUGUAACAGCCACACGCGACGGCAGUUAGAGAACUUGAUGGAAACUUGAGGUCUUCUAUAUGCAAGAAAGAAAAAGAGUAAAAGAGAAGUUUAUAAGUAGUUGUUGGUUUAAGGUCUUACAUUUUGAUAGAAUGGUGACCAUUAACUAUAAAGAGCUUGCAUCGACAAGUUCUUCCUACAAAGAAGAAGUUGUGCCUAAUACAAGUUCUUUCUUUUCUAUGUAACAGUUUGAUGGUGUUUGAUAGGGUUUCGAUAACUAAAUUACUAAUAUUUUGCCAUUUUGCUCACCAUAUUGCUUAAUGUACUCGUAAUCCUAAUUUGAACUUGAAACUCUUUGGAUUCCAGCUGAAAUGCAUUCCUCGAAAUGGUCUCAAUGAGAGUCGUCUAGCGAGUGCCAUAUCAUUGGAAGUCGCCAGUGGAUAUCAGAACACAUUUGGUAGGACAAUGAGGUAAUAUGCAGAUAACAAGCAUCAUUUUUAUUACAUUUCGUGACUUUGCACAAAGAGUUUGAGCUUUUGUUCAUACCGUCGGUGCCAUUUGCAGGUUUAGCAGUUUUCUCCAUUCAAAGCUUUCGAAAUGGUAUUCUCGAUCAGAUCACUUGUCUGCUCAAAAGCUGUUGGAAGAAGUGAAUGGGUAUGGCACAGCAAGCAUGUCAGAGAGGUCAAAAUUUCUUAAUAAGGUUGUUACCUGGUUUUCUACUUUUCUUUAGCUCUUGUAUUCAUGGCAUGAGUCAUCAAACAGCAUCAAUCUGUAAAUUGUAUAUUUACUCACAUUUCCUCCUAAUCAAGGUUUUAAGUGCCCGUCGGCACGGGCCGUAUCCACCGUGCCGUACCGUGCCAACAAGAUACCGGCACGAUACAAACCCCGUGCCAAUGGCACAGCUCAAAACCCUCUAUUCUUUAAAUUAGUUAGUAAUUUCCUCAAUAAAAUUCAGAAUAUGUGAUAAAAAGACAUAAUAAAAUAGUUAGAAUAUUUUGUUGCUAAAGAAAAUAAAUAUUUCAUACUAUUAUGUGUCAGCACACAAGAAUUUUUUUGACCAGCACGCAUCGGCACGGCUCGGCAUGCACUGUGCCGUACCGUGCCGGCAAGUUUUCGGCACGACCCUGUGCCACGACACUUAAAUCCUUGCUCCUAAUUUUAUGAUCAAUUUCUUUUGAACAUGAUAGUUUGGUUCGUUUCCUUUCUCCGCGUGUAAUGGAUAAAACAUGUGCCAUGGGUUGACCAGGGUAAUGAGGGUAGAUGAAGAACUGUCUCUAUGAAAUUUAUUUUUAUUUAUUUGUAGAGAAAAUUCUAAAUUUGUCUCCAUGUUAUAUGGUUUCUCUAAUCUUUUGGUACAUUUAACAACCUUAGGUUUUUAACUCCUGUGGUGAAAUCAAUGAAAUUUGUACCUUUACCUUUCGCAUCCUUAAGUUAGUUUCAUUGGGCUCUUGCAGGUAUCAGUUCUAAUGGGCUACAGUAACAUACAAGAUCUAAUCGAGCAAGAGAGAAUUCGAAAAGAAACCGAGUCAGAUUUAAUAGCAAAUGAUGAAUUUGAUUUCUCGUUAAAUUUCGCAAAUUUCCCGUGUAUCAAGCUGGGCGAUUCAUCUUUCAUAGAGCUGUAUGAUGAGUUCCCAACCACCGAACACGGUGAAAAGCUUUCGCUCCCUAAUUCCGGCAAACUUGUUGAAGCAUGGAAUUGGUUGCGGACAUCAUUCACAAGUAUAAACACUCUCUCGUCGAGCGAAGAAGUUUCUUCAAUUAACCCAUACCACUCUCAAGAAGCAUUGGUUACUAAAGAGAUAGUUAGUCAUAAGCCAUCGUCUGAAGUUAGCGGAUCAGAUGCGCCGAUUUUGGACAAGAAUAUCCGAUGUUUACCUGGCACAACUAGCAGGCAGUGUCGCCAGCUUGAAGAAAGCGGUUUCCACACGGUGAGAUUUUUGAAGAUAGUUUGAAGGAUACGAGUUUAAUUUAGAGAUAUCUAUGUUUGUGCCCCUGCAAAAUCUAAAUUUUCCUGUAUACCUUUCGAAAACUUAAUUUCUACCCAUGUCCCCAAAUUAAGCCUAUUUAAGGACUGCACCUUCAAGAGGUAUUUUUGAAAUAUGAUAUUUUAUAGGGAUAUAUAUGAUUUUGCAGGGAUAGAUAUGCACAAGACCCUUUUAUUUAUUCUAGUUACAUUAAAAUUAAUUCUACAACAUACUCCCCUGUAGGUGCGAAAAUUGCUGCACCAUUUUCCUCGAACCUAUGCUGAUCUGCAAAAUGCUCAAGGUCCAAUAGAUGAUGGGCACUAUUUGAUGUUUGUUGGAACUAUUUUAUCUUCCAAGUAAGUAAUUCUGAAAUAGGAACAUGCGAGCAAAUUUAGCCUCCUUUGCUGUAUCUCUCUCUAUUUUUCUCUCAUGCCUUUAUUUUUUUUUUCCCUCAGGGGAAUCAAGGCUAGCUCUUCUUUUGCGUUCCUUGAGGUAGUUGUGGCGUGUGAGCUUCUCAAUUGUGAAUCAACUUCUGAAGUUACGGGUGAUAACUGUGAUGCCGAAGAAAAGAAGAUGGUUUAUUUGCAUCUAAAGAAGUUCUUUCGUGGUUCUCGCUUUACAUAUCAGCCUUUCCUUAGAAGUAUAGAGUCAAAGUAUAAGGAGGGAGAUCAUGUAUAUGUUAGUGGCAAGGUUGGUGAUUUUCGAAUUCCUGAUGUUUUCUUCAUUUUUUUGUUGUAUUUUUCUACUGAUUGUUAUGUGGGAAUGUAUUUAGCAUUUUCUGAAUCCCUUUCGAGUUUCGAGAUAAUUAUAUGUUACUUUUGCAAGCAUAUCUAUUUACAUAUAUACUCAAUGAUUCUCCAGUUUUAUAUAUAAUCUUUAAAAACUUGAUUCCUUUUUCUAUAUAACCUCGUAAAUCGAAAGGCCCCUCUUUAAAUAGCUUCUAACACAAAACUAACUUUGGCCAUGAGUUUGAUGACUCCUAGACUCGAAGACAUUUUUUGUGAGAAACUCCAUUUUCGAGGGCUAAAAGUUUGUUUUCGUUGCAAGAAAUACAAGUGCUGUUCUUGAAGAUCUCAUCUUGUUCAUGAAAAAGAUAUACGUCCUUGUACUUGGUCAUAUAAUGCCAUCAUGUUCAUAAUAAUACACUGCCGUUAUAUAAGAUAAUCUUAACUAAAAUAAUUUUGAGUGCAAAAUAAUUCUUACCUCUGUGAUUUUACCUUUCUUGUCAGGUUAAGAAAAUGCGUAGCAAAGGCCAUUAUGAAAUGAGAGAGUAUAGUAUCGACAUGCUAGAAGAGGAGGAAGAGCACCAUGCACAACUAGAGAGAAGGCCCUAUCCUCUAUACCCGUCCAAAGCAGGACUAAAACAAAGCUUCCUUGGGGAUGUCAUAUCUAGGUUAUUUUUAUCUGCUAUCAUUAUUAUUGCAAUUACUAUUAUUGCUGUUAGUGUGCAUUUGGUUUGCGCUAUGAAAGAUUGUCAGGAAUAAAGGGAUUGCUAAGGAUUUGAUUCCUACUCAUUCUAUAACUAAAAUGUUGCAUUUCAUUGUUUGGUUCGGAUAGUCAUAGUAUUUGAGAUUACUUGGAAUAUAUAAUUGAUGUAUUUAUUUCGUUAAUUAAUUUCAGGUAAUGUUAGCAUUAAUGUGAACAUCUUUUUCCUUUCAACAAUCAGGAGGAAUUUGUUUUUAGGUUAAAUUGGGAGAGCUUAGUUUAGAGAGAGAGAGAGAGAUAUUUGAGGUUAAAGGUAGAGAGUUGUGAAUAGAGAGAGGGGGGAAGAGAGAGAGCAUAGGUUAGAGAGAGAGUAUAAUUAGAGAUAGAGGGAGUGAUAAGAGUCGAGGUUAAUAGAUGAGAUAGAGGUGGGGUUAAAGAGAGGAAAGGAGAGUUUUGGUUUAGAGAGAGGGAUGAGGUUGUAGAGAGAGAUAUGAGAUUAGAGAGUAAAGGGAAAAGUAGGUGAUCGAGGUGGGGAGGGAGAAAAAGAGUGGGUCGAGUUAUGAAUUUUAUGAUUAUCCUAAUUCAUUAAUAUAAAGAUACCAACUCUUUUCCAAAGAAAUGAUAUUAUUACUUCGGGGUGAAUCUUCUUUCCAAAUGAAUCCAACAUUACCAAUCAAAUUACUUUGUGCAUUUAGCUAAAUACCGUCAUAUAUAUAUAUAUAUAUUUUAUUCCUAUUGGAUUACUGAGAAUCUUAGAACGAUAACAUGAACCAAACGCACCCUUAAUAUUAUUUGAGAAAACAAUCCAUGUUGAUUAGGGCUUUCUGGACUUGGCAGGCCCCUACAUGGUUUAUUUGUUAAAGUUGGCUCGAGAUAUCCGUUUUUUUACGUUGUUAUUAUUAUACUUUACUUUCCCUUCUGUUAACUUGCGCUUGAUGUAUUUAGAUAAUCCUCUCUCUUAUCGUCGUUUAUGUUAAGCAGUUUUCAAACGUUUGGGCUAAUUGAUUUGUUAUUGGAUUGAGUUUCUUUCCUGUUGUUAUUCUUUGUUUUACAGUAUUAGUUAACUUUGCAGUUCUAAAGGACCAUUUUGCAGUAGGGAAGUUUCGUCCUUUCUUUUUAUCCCAUUUAUUUCAAUUCAUUCUUUUCAUGGUGCUUCGUAAGUUUAGCUUAGUAAGAGCAUUGUAAUAUUUUGUUUUAAGAAUUACAUAUCUAAAACCUGUUUGCUUAUGUAUUGCUUCAGUUCACUUUUUCCUCGUGAAAACUAAGAUUUGGUUUCUUAUAUUUACAAAGCUGUACUCUAACUUCCAUAUGCAGAGCCUUGAAGAUUUUGAAUUCCGACAUAGAUCCUAUACCUUCUGAGAUUCUUGCGGAGUUCAAUUUGCUAAACCUUUUUGAUGUAUGUUACUAACUGGUUAUAUACUUAUUUCUUCUGUUUCAUAGUUUAAUUUACUAAACCCUUUUUUACAUCGUAUCCUAUUUUGAAAUAUGGUUGCCACCUUGCUUCUUCUAAUUAUUAGAUUUAGUAUUUAAUUUACCUUUCUUGCUGCUUAUAUCUAUUUUUUGAUAUAUUUUCGUGGCUAAUUUCAGGCAUACACGGGAAUUCAUCGACCGAAUAAUUUAGCAGAAGCUGAUUUGGCUCGCAGAAGACUGAUAUUUGACGAUUUCUUUUACCUUCAGGUAAUUCUAGCUGUAAUUGCAUGUGCCGAAAAAUAUAGUGCUCGACGGCUAUAUUAAAUGCUCGAAAGAAUACGCAUAAAAGCCCUUAAUAUUUUUUAUCAUUCUCGUACUAUGGUGUUAUUGGUUAUUUGUUCCAGUUGGGAAGGCUAUAUCAAAUGCUCGAAGCACUUGGGACACGGAUCGAAAAGGAAGAAUUGUUGGGCAAGUACAAACUCCACGAACUAAAUGCUGCGUGUGUCGAGGAUUGGUCCCCCCUCACCCAAAGGCUGUUGAAGGCGCUUCCAUAUUCUCUGACUCCUAGUCAGUUGAAUGCGGUUUCGGAGAUUAUUUGGGAUCUCAAGAGGCCAGUUCCUAUGAACAGACUUUUGCAGGUAUUGGCAUGGCUUUUUAAAUUUUAUUUAUUGUGUUACAUGAAGUUGUUGCUUCUGGCGAUCUUUAAUGACUUUUUUGAUGGAUUGCGAUUGGUCGCCUUGUACAUAAAAUUUUCUUUUGUAGGGUGAUGUUGGCUGUGGGAAAACUGUCGUUGCUUUCUUGGCUUGUAUGGAAGUUAUUGGCUCAGGAUUUCAGGUAAUUAGCAAUAAUUUUUACUAUUUACUUGGGUUUGCAAGCAUAAGAUGCAUUAUUUUGCAUAGGUUACAUCGUACUUUUAGUAACAUGUGCAAAAUUCGGUAUUUAGUGCCUGUUUGGCCUGGACUCUGGAACAACUUCUAUAUUUCAAUAAGCUGUAGUCUGGCAUUUAGUAAACAAAAUUCUGGAGCUUUUGCUGUUGCACGAAGCUAACAUAUGCUUCUGAGAUCCAAAGGCAGAAGCUCCAAUUUGAGGCAUUUACUUCCGCCGGAGUUGGGAGCUCUUGGGGGAGAAUUUAGUAGAAAGUUGUUGAUGCUUCUUCAGAUAGCUCGACUAAGGCAUCAUUGCUUCGGGGGCUAAACAAUUCUUCGCACUUUGCAUCGCUGAAUUUUUUUGACCUUUACAACUACCACACUGCUUGAUGAGGGCUUAAUAUAUGUAGGUACAAAAUUUUCAAUCGCUAGAAGUUUCCCGCAAAGUGAUGGAAUUUGAUUUAAUUUUUUUGAGUGUUAUCUCUUAUUGAAUUAUAUUUCCCCAUCACCUUUCUUUGCAUUACUUCGGCAGUAUAAGUGAAAGUUAAUACUUAUGUACCAUGUGAUGCUAACUAUCAAAGCUUGAUUUAGGCUGCUUUCAUGGUUCCAACCGAACUACUCGCCAUCCAACAUUACGAGCAUUUAAAUUCUUUGUUGGAGGGUAUGGAGGGGGGCGAAGGUAAACCUAACGUUGCCUUGUUAACUGGCUCCACCUCUUCAAGGGAGUCGAGGAUAAUUCUCAAGGCAUGAGUUUCUUCUUAUGAUCUUCUGUUCAUCCUCACGAAUGAUUUUUUUGGUGUUUCUUUCAUGAGAUAUUUACAUGCAUACCCCUGAAUUAUCUGUACACGUAAUCUUCAUGUUCCCUUCAGAAUCUGGAAUUCUUAUUAUGUGCAAAAGUGUCUUCCGAAAACCAACUUACCCCGCAAAUUCGGUUCUUUGAUCAUCUCUUGUUGGUUUACAGGGCCUUCAGUUAGGAGAUCUAGACAUGGUCGUGGGAACUCACAGCCUAAUAUCCGAGAAAAUCGAAUACUCAGCUUUACGUAUUGCUGUUAUCGAUGAACAGCACCGCUUCGGAGUGAUUCAGAGAGGAAGGUUCAACAGUAAGGUAGUUUCCUGUUUGCUGUCCAUGGCCAUACCUUGAUUUUGUGAAAAAUGUACAAAUCGUACAAUUCGUAUGCCCGAUCAUUAUUGCCGCUUUUUCUUUUGGAAAAUUCUAUACUUCUAUUUUGAUCUACGUGUAAACUUGAUUAAUAUAUAUCCUGUUCAUGAUGGAUGUCUACAUGAAUAGCUUUAACACUAAUUCUUUUUCCCCCCUUGCAUUUACAUUAUGUUACUUUGUGGAUAAUGUGUCCCAUCCUCGACAUGCACAAGUUGUAACAUGAUAUAUAAGAUCAUCUCGUUGAAUUUUGCAGCUAUAUUCUUCUCCGUCAUGCUGGAAAAAUGAUUGUACAAAUCUAGAAGAGAUUUCUAAAGAAAAGGCGCACAUGGCACCUCAUAUUCUCGCUAUCUCAGCUACUCCGAUUCCGAGGACGUUAGCUUUGGCUUUAUAUGGCGAUAUGUCUCUUACUCAGGUAUAUGAGAUGUUUUAUAGAUUCAUAUACUAUUUAGUUAUAUGUUCUUGCCGCAGCAUUUUACAGUUCUCGUUUUCUUGCGGCGUUUAACAAGUUGGAUCUUGCUCUAUUCCUGAUAUUGAUCACUGUCCUCUUAUGCUCUAAAUAUGAUCUCUUUGCUUAAUCUUCUUUUGUGACAGAUUACGGAUUUGCCUCCAGGAAGGAAGCCUAUAGAGACUUCAGCUCUUGAAGGAAAUGAAAUUGGUUUCGAGAAAGUCUACCAGGUGAUACUGAUGAUAUUGAUCUCAGCAUUUGGUUUCUUUUUAAGUGACAAAUUUAUUCAAAAUUCACGGUUAUGCAGCUUAUUUUUGAGCCUAUUCAGUGUUUCUCUGUUUUUGAGCCUGCUACCUUUCCGACGUCAUCAAAUAUUUUAGUAAAUUUGUAAUCGAGCAUGAUUACUGGUCAAGGAUUUAAGUGCCCAUCGGCACGGGCUGUGCCCACCGUAUUGUAUUAUGCUGACAAUUUAUCGAGACGAUACGACGCUCAUGCCGAUGACAUAUCUCAAAAUCCUCUUUUUUUAAAAAAUUAGCAAGUUGUGUGUCGACACGCAUCAGUACGGCACGGCACACGCCGUUUUGUACCGUGUUUUCGGCAUGACCCCAUGCCAUGGUACUUAAAUCCUUGCUACCGGUGAUGUUUUGUGGGAAAAUUUGUUCUUUAGGAAGUUAAUAGCUUAUGAAAUAGAGAAUAUUUUGUUUUGUUAGGUCUAUGGCAUCUGACCCCUAAAAAAGCAUCAUCUGUUUUUUAGUUUACGACAUCCGACCCUCAUAUGAUAAUAUUCUUAAACAUGUAAAAUGAUAGCACACAAACUUGAAAUAGACAUAUAAUGAAUGCCUACACAAAGUUUGACAUGUUACUCCUGUAUUAGAUUAUUUUUCCAUAUUUUUCGAUCUAAAUCGAGUUCGUUAGAAUUGAGUAAAAAGCGUUUGGAUUUACUUUUGUCGAUUUCUUAUGCGCUAUUUAAAGUUCUUUGUACCUUCAUUAAGUUGGUGUAGUUGCAUAGAUUUAUUGUUAAUAAUAACUUUUUUUAAUCAUUGUUGUUGUUAAUUAUCGCGAUUCGCAUGUAGAUGAUGAGAGAAGAGUUAAUAUCCGGCGGAAAAGUCUAUCUUGUGUACCCAAUCAUACAAGAAUCCGAGCAGCUGCCCCAGCUCCGUGCCGCUACCGCCGAUUUCUCCAGCAUAUCGGGAAAGUUCGAAGAUUACAAAUGCGGGCUACUCCACGGGCGAAUGUCCGGCGAGGAGAAAGAGAACGCGCUGAGGGACUUCAAAUCGGGCGGAACCCGCAUCCUCCUCGCGACCCAAGUCAUCGAGAUCGGCGUCGACAUCCCCGACGCGUCGAUGAUGGUCGUGGUGAAUGCCGAGAGGUUCGGAAUCGCGCAGCUGCACCAGCUUAGGGGGAGAGUGGGGCGAGGGGAGCGGAAGUCACGGUGCGUGUUCUUGUCGUCCAUGUCGGGGUCGGUGGCGCGGUUGAAGGUGCUGGAGAAGUCGUGCGACGGGUUUUAUUUGGCGAAUGCGGAUCUUCUUCUUCGCGGGCCCGGGAACCUGCUAGGCAAGAAGCAGUCUGGGCAUUUGCCGGAGUUUCCGAUUGCUCGGCUCGAGAUUGAUGGGAAUAUUCUUCAAGAAGCUCAACUUGCUGCACUGGUAAAACCAUCACCUUAAAUUUAACUUUCUUCGUAUUCAUUAAUUUUAAUUCUUUAGUGAAAACGUACAAAACUUACCUGAACUAUAUAAGCCAUUUCGAAUCAGCUACCCUUAUUACUAUCAAAUCUUUCAAUUUAUUGGAUUUGAGCCAAUCAACGACAUUUUAACUUUAAAAUUCAAAUGCGUCGUUUAUUUUUAGAGAUUUAUUUAUUAUAUUUUGUUAAAGUAAAGCAAUUAGCUUAAAUUUUGAAGUCAAAAUGUCGUUGACUAAUUUAAAUCAAAUAAAUUUUGGAAGGUAAGUUCUGUACAAUUUUAUGUUGUCUUUUUUAAUAUUUAGUCCUUGAAGUUUGUUCUGCAUAACAAUUAAGUCCUUUUUAGUUUGCUGUCCGAAAAAGUGCAAAUGUCAACAGAAUCAAAUUUGAAACUUUGAAAUCAAACUUCGAGGACCAGAAUUUUUGAAAUUAAUGCUCUCUCUUUGUGUUUCUUUUAACCCAUUUUACGACGAAACUUGGUUUAAUGCAUCAUAUUUUGAUUGAUAACCCUUUUAUUUUGCGAAUUCGCAGGAAGUUUUGGCGAGGAGCCACGAUCUCGAGCUCUAUCCGAAGCUAAAAGCCGAGCUGAGCAUGCGACAACCUUUGUGUAUAUUAGGAGACUGAAUUUUGUAGCAAAUGAAGAACCAAAAUUGUUAUAGUAUGUGAGAGUAAAACAAUGCUACUGGGGUGGUUUUUUUUCUCCUCUUUUUUUUUUUUUUUUCUAAUUUUCUGAAGCUGGGGAUUAGGUUUUAAUUUUGGAAAUUUUGGAGGGGUUCUCAUUAAGAUUUGGUCCCAGUGUUGUAACAAAUGGAAGUGCACUGCAACUGGAGAAGUGCUCAUUUUGUAAGCACUUUAUGAUUAAGGUGCUUUUGUACAAAGGAAAAAAAAAAAAAGAAAAAAGAAAAAAGAAAAAGGAAAAUGUUUAAUAGCUUUUUGGUACAUUAUCAUGCAUCAAGUGAUUAGUGGUUUUGGUCUUUUUUUUUUUUUAUUUUUGGCGAAAUUACACACUUUUAGUCCUCAAACUAUGAGAAAGUUGUAAUUUCAGACUUAAUUUUUGUAAAUUAUUAGAACAAUUAGGUUCUACAGCUUAAUUUACUUGAUUAGAUAUUACUGAUAAAGUGAUGUAAUAUUUUUUAACUAUUGUCGCGUCAUCAAUCAUAAUAAUGAUACAUCACUAUCACUUUAAUAUUACCAAUAUAUUAAUAUUUAUUCAAAUAAAUUAAAUUGUGAAACUCGACAGUUAAGUUCAAGUCAUAAAUCAUAGUAAAUUAAAGUUUGAGACCAAAGUGUCAAGUCAUAAAUCAUAGUAAAUUUAAGUUUGAGACCAAAGUGUCACGCACCUCAUAGUUUGAGGAUAAAAAGUGUAAUUUAGCCCCUUUUUAUUAAAAAACAUACAUUGCUUAAAUUAACUAAAUUGUGGCUUAAAUAAUAUUUGGCUUUUGGGGUUUGUUAAUUAUUGCGUUGACUACUUUGAUGUCCUUUUUUUUUUUUAAUUCUAAAAGAGAAAAAUAACAUUCUAUACAUUUAGUUAUCCAGCUAGAAAAAUAUAAAAUAAUUAGGAUUCGAACUUUUAUCAAGUGUGCGCACUGAAUGUGGAAAAUAAUAUUCACAUAAGUAAUUCUAUAUUCACAUAAACAUUUUAUAAUAUUUAACAAGCAUACUGGCAUAGAGAAUCUUCAUUGUAUUAUUGAUACAAUUGGAGAAAAAAAAAAAAUGAAGUUGUAAAGAGAAUGAUAAUUAUAAUAGGCCAAAAAUAAUCUUAGUAGUACACUAUUAUGUAAAUGUAAGGAAUAAACUAAAAAAAUUGGGCUAAAUAACAAAAAAACCUUCUUAUAAAUACCCCUCUUUUAACUUUUCUCUCUAACUUCUAAAAAUUUAUAUUUCACGCCUUCAAUAUUUCAAGUUAUUGCAUUUAGCCUCCUUUUUCUCUAUUAGGGUUUUACUACUAGUCCGUCCAUUUCUUAUAAUUCAGACCGAAAACACUCUUCAAAAUGACAAAAAUAUAUGGCCAAUUUGCAUAAAAAAUUUACUAGUUUUGGGCUUUUGCAAAAGUGGGUCACCUUUUCCGAUUUUGCAGAUUCGGGCCGUAUUUUCAGCAAACUAACCAAAAUACCCUUAUUACUUUUUCUCUUUCCUCUUUCUCUCUCCUCUUUUUUUUUCUCUCGUUCUUUUUUUUUUCUCUCGCCGAAGAGGCAGCGGAGGCAGAGGCGGAAACGGAAACGGCCCGCCUCGCCUCUCACCCUCAUGCUCUCGCCCUCGCUCUCGCCCGCGCCCGCGCACCCCCACCUUCCUCGCCUCCUACCCCGCCGAGGCCGCGCUGCGACUUUUUUUUUUUUUUUUCCUCUCCGACUCUCCUCCAUCGUUUCCGACGACGACACCUCUCUCGUUCUUUCCCGCCCUUCUCGUUCUCUCCCUCUCCUUUCUCCUCUGCCGCCUCCGACGACGACGCAUCUUCGCCGACGUCGACACCGUGGAGGUCGUUGCGGCGCUGCAGCCUCGGAGCGGGGGGUCCUUAGCAGCGUCGUCGCUGGCGCCGUGUCCGUUGGCAGAGAGGGGUGACCAAAAAAAAUAAUAAAAGAAGCAAGAAAAAAAAAUAAAGAUAAACAAUUAUAGAAAAAGAAAGAUGAAGAUGAAAUUACACCGUUAAAAUAAAAUUGCACCAUUUUAAAAAAAUGUUGCACUAUUAUGAAUAUAAGUUCAUUACGUAAAAUGUAAACUGCAGCUUUAAGAUGAAAAUUAUACUCUUUAAAAGAAAUUUACACUCUUUGGGAGUUAUUUACACUGUUUCUUCUCUUAUUGCACUCUUUCAGGUAUAAAUUGCAUCCAUUAAGAUGAAAAUUACAUUCUUUAAACGAAAGUUGCACCCUUUGAGAGAUAUUUACACUAUUUUUUCUCUUGCUAUACUCUUUAAGAGAUGUAAACUGCACCCCUUUAAGAGAUAUUUAUACUGUUUUUCCUCUAGUUGUAUUGUUUCUCCUUUUGUUGUACUAUUUCUCCUCUUGUUGUACUAUUUCUCCUAUUGUUACACUAAUUUUUUUUUUAAAGUGUGCAGUUUAAGAGAAAAAAUAGUGUAAUAAGAGAAGAAAUAGUGCAACAAGAGUAGAAACAGUGCAACAAAAGGAGAAAGUAUAAAUAUUUUUUAAAGAGAUGCAUGCAGUUUACAUCUCAAAAUGUGCAAGAAGAGGAGAAAUAGUGUAAAUAUCUCUCAAAGAGUGCAAUUUUCGUUUAUAGAGUGUAACUUUCAUCUUAAUGGAUGCAGUUUAUAUCUGAAAGAGUGCAAUAAGGAAAGAAAUAGUGUAAAUAUGUCUCAAAAAGUAUAAUUUUUGUUUAAAGAGUGUAAUUUUCAUCUUAAAGCUGCAGUUUACAUCUUAAGUAGUGUAAUUUAUGUCCAUAAUAGUACAACGUUAUUUUAAAACAGUGCAAUUUUAAUUUAACGGUGCAAUUUCAUUUUCAUUUUUUUUCUAUAAUUUUUUAUCUUUUUUUUUUCUUGCUUCUUCUAUAGUUUUUUUUUUGUCACCCCUCUCUGCCAACGACCACAGCGCCGGCGACACCGCCGCUAAGAACCCCUCGCUCCGAGGCUACAGCGCCGCAACGCUCUUCACAGUGUCAGUGUCGGCGAAGAUGCAUCGUCGUCGGAGGCGGCAGAGGAGGAGGGAGAGGGAGAGGACGAGAAGGGCGGGAAAGGGCGAGAGAGAGGUCGUCAUCGGAGAUGGUGGAGGAGAGUCGGAGAAGGAAAGAAAAGAAAAGAAAAAAGAAAAAAAAAUGUCGCGGCGCGGCCUCGGCGGGAUCGGAGGCGAGGAAGGUGGGGGAUGCGUGGGCGAGGGCGAGGGCGAGACCAUGAGGGUGAGAGGCUUCCGCCUCUGCCUUCGCUUUUUUUUCGGCGAAAAAAAAAGAACGAGAGAANGCCUCCGCUGCUUUCUUCGACGAGAGAAAAAAGAAUGAACGAGAGAAAAAAAAAGAGAGAGAGAGAGAAAGAGGAAAGAGAAAAAGUAAUAAGCGUAUUUUGAUCAAUUUGCUGAAAAUUCAGACCGAAUCUGCAAAAUCAAAAAAGACGGCCCAAUUUUGCAAAAGCUCAAAAUUUAUAGAUUUUUUAUGCAAAUUGGCCAAAAUAUAUUAAAAAAUUAUUUUUUUCUUAUAAAAAAAGUAUGAGCAAUUUGUUCAUUUUGCCGUCUCCAUUAACACCGUGGCCCCUAAAAGUAUUUCUGAAAUUUUAAAAGGACAAAAUAUAAAUUUUUAAAAGUCAACAAGAAAAAGUAAAAAGAAUAACUAUUUAUGAAAAAAAUUUCUAUAAUUUAGUCAAAAAAAAAAAACUACCUAGUAAGUAAACAAAGUAUUGUGCAAAAAAAAAAACAAAAGUAAACAAAAAAAAUAGAAUAGCAACACUAUUUGUUGAUCAUAUCACACAUAUUAAACACAAACCAAGGAACCACCAAACCAUCAUCUUAUGGAAUGAAAAAAGUUUCAACAACCAACCCAAGUUUAGAGAGAGAGAGAGAGAGAGAGAGAGAGAGAGAGAGAAGGCAUGCAAAAAGCAUAACACAAACACCAGAUAUGAAGAGAAUACUACUAAGUUUUGUGGGAGCCAAACAAGUGACACAUUCUGCAACAACUGCUGCACACAUAUAUAUAUGUUUUUCAGCGGCGGCGGCGGCGGGCGGACAUCGGCUCCUUCUGGGAAUUGAAGUAGACGGCGGCGACGGGGAGGCCGAGGUCGUGCUGCGCGGCGAAGACACGCGUGUUGAAGUUGGGGCGGGCGGCGGGGGACGCCACGCUCGCCAGUUGCGAUUUCUGCUCGAAAAGCACUAGCACGUAUCGGUGGAUGCCCACCGGCGGCUGCGGUCCCAUGUACUCCACCACCUCCUGCCCUGCCGCCGCCGUCGUCGCCGCACCCGAAAAGUUGCAAUUGUAAGUUUUUAUACAUGUGNAAUAGAAUCAUAUAAUUUGAAUAAGUUGCUCAAUAAAUUAUUAAUUUUGAUAGCAUAAGCAUAAUAGGAUACCUCUCCUUUAUCUUUUUUUUUGGAUCUAUAUAAUUUUCAAAAUUUUAAAUUCUAAAAGUUAAUUUUUAUAUUGUAAAACUAAAUUUUGGCAUCAAAUAGAUAUUUCUAGAUUGUUGGCAUGUAUCUUUUUAUUAUUUAUUGAUUAUUUGGCUAAAAUUAGUCAGUUUGAAUUGUUAAAAUUCCAAUUUAGGUGGUGAAUUACAAAAUUUUGAAAUUUAAAAUUUCAAAAGUUUUGAUGGGUACGUACAAUUAAAGAAGGAAAAGUUCAUAUGAUUUGGUGCAUGUAUCGAGUUUUUAUUGCUUAGACCAAGCGCAUAGGGAUGUCAAUGGGUUAGAUUUGGGGCGGGUUCUAAAAAAUCCGAACCUGAACCCGAACCCGACCACUAAAUUCGAAACCAAAUCAAAACCUGGAUCCUACGGAUUAGAAAUUUCAUAUCCAAAUUCGAACUCAAUCAAAAUUUUGAAAUCCGAAUCCGAGCCCAAAACAAUUACUUCUCUUUACUAUAUUACAAAACAUAUCAUAUUAAAUGUAAAUUUUUAAAAUACAAAUUCAGAUAUAACAUCAAACAUAUGUAUAAUUAUGUGUGUGUGUGUAAUGUAAAAUCAAUCGGGUCGGGUACAAACAAAAUCCAUAUCCGAAUCUAAAUCUAUUGGGUUAUCGUUUUUUAUAUCCGUAUAUCCGUUUAACAUCGAAUGAAUAUGCUUCGUUCGGGUUCGGGUUCAGAUUCAAAUAAAAUUUUGUGUAUCUUUACCCAUUGAUAUCCCUAUAAUUGUAUCGUAGGAGAGGUUUCUCUAUUGUAAUACUCUGCAUCAUCCAAUCAAAAUACCACCGUAUUUGGUACAAUAAUAAAUAUUUAAAUAUAAAAUUAUCAUAUUAUUCUCGAUUAAACUCUCUAUCAUUCUCCGUAGCACACUAUAAUGGACUAUGUUUUUUCUUUUUUUUUUUUUAACGUGGACAAUUAUGGUGUAUAUGAAAUAUCAAAAGGCUAUUCUAUGGCAAUCUAAACUUUUAGGACAACUAGUUGUUUAUUAUAUAUUAAAUUAAAUUAGGAGAUCUCCUCAGUUCAGACAAUUUUAGGGCACGAUUAUAAAGAUCAAAAAGUCUCGAGCUGAGACAUCAGAAAAAAGUGUUGGGUACAAAACGUUAACCGCUCGGGUUUGUAAAAUGAUCGACUGUUUAACAAAUUAUUAAAAUUCACGCUAAACAAUAUUAAGAUUCAUAAAUUAGUAAUUUUUAUUCCGCAACACUAUAUGUGUACAUUUCAAAAAAAAGAAAAAGAAAAAAGGAAUCUUACACAUCUUCAUCCUAAAUUGCGCAAAUUUUUUUAGAUUUUAAAAUUAAUAAAAAAAUGGAUAAAAUAAUAGCUCAAUAUCAGCCCUUGGAUGAAAGAGGUAUAAGAUUCCUUUUUUCUUUUUCUUUUUUUUGAAAUGUACACAUAUAGUGUUGCGGAAUAAAAAUUACUAAUUUAUGAAUCUUAAUAUUGUUUAGCGUGAAUUUUAAUAAUUUGUUAAACAGUCGAUCAUUUUACAAACCCGAGCGGUUAACGUUUUGUACCCAACACUUUUUUCUGAUGUCUCAGCUCGAGACUUUUUGAUCUUUAUAAUCGUGCCCUAAAAUUGUCUGAACUGAGGAGAUCUCCUAAUUUAAUUUAAUAUAUAAUAAACAACUAGUUGUCCUAAAAGUUUAGAUUGCCAUAGAAUAGCCUUUUGAUAUUUCAUAUACACCAUAAUUGUCUACCUUAAAAAAAAAAAAAGAAAAAACAUAGUCCAUUAUAGUGUGCUACGGAGAAUGAUAGAGAGUUUAAUCGAGAAUAAUAUGAUAAUUUUAUAUUUAAAUAUUUAUUAUUGUACCAAAUACGGUGGUAUUUUGAUUGGAUGAUGCAGAGUAUUACAAUAGAGAAACCUCUCCUACGAUACAAUUAUAGGGAUAUCAAUGGGUAAAGAUACACAAAAUUUUAUUUGAAUCUGAACCCGAACCCGAACGAAGCAUAUUCAUUCGAUGUUAAACGGAUAUACGGAUAUAAAAAACGAUAACCCAAUAGAUUUAGAUUCGGAUAUGGAUUUUGUUUGUACCCGACCCGAUUGAUUUUACAUUACACACACACACAUAAUUAUACAUAUGUUUGAUGUUAUAUCUGAAUUUGUAUUUUAAAAAUUUACAUUUAAUAUGAUAUGUUUUGUAAUAUAGUAAAGAGAAGUAAUUGUUUUGGGCUCGGAUUCGGAUUUCAAAAUUUUGAUUGAGUUCGAAUUUGGAUAUGAAAUUUCUAAUCCGUAGGAUCCAGGUUUUGAUUUGGUUUCGAAUUUAGUGGUCGGGUUCGGGUUCAGGUUCGGAUUUUUUAGAACCCGCCCCAAAUCUAACCCAUUGACAUCCCUAUGCGCUUGGUCUAAGCAAUAAAAACUCGAUACAUGCACCAAAUCAUAUGAACUUUUCCUUCUUUAAUUGUACGUACCCAUCAAAACUUUUGAAAUUUUAAAUUUCAAAAUUUUGUAAUUCACCACCUAAAUUGGAAUUUUAACAAUUCAAACUGACUAAUUUUAGCCAAAUAAUCAAUAAAUAAUAAAAAGAUACAUGCCAACAAUCUAGAAAUAUCUAUUUGAUGCCAAAAUUUAGUUUUACAAUAUAAAAAUUAACUUUUAGAAUUUAAAAUUUUGAAAAUUAUAUAGAUCCAAAAAAAAAGAUAAAGGAGAGGUAUCCUAUUAUGCUUAUGCUAUCAAAAUUAAUAAUUUAUUGAGCAACUUAUUCAAAUUAUAUGAUUCUAUUGCACUACUUAUUGAUAAUUUUAUCUGUAAAUUUAUUUUUAUAAAGUUUUAUAACUAAAUUCAACGAUUAUCCCAAAUAGCUGGACCUAUUUGAAAUAAUGACAGAGUACACGAGCCGAGAAUAAAUUGAUGCAAUUUUUUAGGUAAAAAUACACAAAACUUAUUAAAACUAUGAAUUAUUUUUAAAUCACCACCCAACCUUUUAAUAUUUUAAUUUUACUACCCAAUCUUUUCAAUUUGUUUGAUUUGAAUAAGUCAACGACUCUUUGACCUUAAAAUUUAAGCUAAUUAUUUAAUUUAAUGAAUGCAUAGUAGCGUUAAUUGAGUGUAGCAUACUAAAUAGACCUGUAAAAAUAAACGACGUAUGCAAAUUUUGAAGUCAAAGUAUCGUUAACUGAAUCAAAUCAAAUCAAAUAAAUUUAAAAAGUUAGAUAGUAAAAUCAAAAUUUAAAAAAAAUUAAAUAUUUUUCAAAAUAACCUACAGCUCAGAUAAAUUUUGUAUAUUUUUUAUUAUUAUUAUUAUUAUUAUAGUGGAGGGUAAUCGAGACAAGGGCUAAAGUAAUACAAGGUGGCUUUUAUAUAAUAAUAUAAUUUAUUUAACCUAAAAGAAAAUUAGAGCAACACGUGGCAACAUCUGGGGCGCUUAUUGGGAACAUACAUGUGUAGGCACGUGCGAGUGACACUUGUGGUGGCCAAGGAUUGUGUUGACACGUGUGGGAGACAUGCACUGACACGUGGGAAAGUCCAACUCGGAUUCUAGAGAGAGAGAGAGAGAGAGAGAGAGAGAGGGUGCAGUGGCUCUUCAGGGUCCCUCAGGAUCCCCCCUAACAAAUAAUUAAUUAAUGAUCUCGUAUUUACAUAUUAUUCAUUUGUUAAUUACUUAAUUAAUAAACUAAUCAAAAUCAUUAUUAUAUAGGAAAAAAAAAAACCAAAAAAAAACAUGUUUCGCAAUUAUCUAAACUUUAUCUAACUCAUGAUCCACCACGUAAUACUUACUUUAAAACAAAAAUAUUUUACUUACAAGUCGCUGUAUCAGAUUAAUAAACAAAGAUUAAUAAGUUUUUAAAAUAUUCUAAUGCUCAAAUGGUAAUUAAUGAUUUAAUACUAAUCAUUACAACUUUAGUUUCCCAAGAAAAAGAGUAAUAUUCAAAAACAAAAAUAGUAGUUAUUUUUUCACAUCCAAUUAAUUUGUGCUCUUGUUGAUAAAAUGAACUCAUCAAAUUAAUGGAGAAUAAAAUAUGGUCCCUACCAAGGGAAUUUAUUGGAAAAAUUAAUAAUGUGACACAAGUUAUAUAUUCACACAUAUAAAUAAACACUUGUGAUUAAUUUUGUUUUAUGUAUAGGAGUUUACACUUUAUUUUAUAUAUUAUCAUUGUUAGUUACUUCAUUAAAUAAUUAAUAAAUAAACAUUUUUAAUAAAUUACUUACCUUGAGAAGGAUCUUUUCCACCUGGUAUGUUAACCACCAUCCUAAUCCAAUCAUGAACAAAAAAAAAAAAGAAGAAAAAAGAGUAGAGAGUGUAAGAAAAAUUGUAAACAAAUUACAAACUAGAGAAAACAAAAAUUAAAGUAAAAAAAAAUACAUAAAAAAUAACUAAUUUAUAUAAAAAAAAAAGUUCUAGAAUUUACCAGUGAAUCCACUCCCUCAUAGUUGGCUCACUAGGGCUGGGUGCAUCUGGAUCAGUCAUAAUCUGCAACAAAUGCAUACACACACACCCCAAUUAAUUAAAUUAAUUAAUUAAUCAAUUAAUUAUAAACACAUAUAAAGUAUAAUUAACUAUGCACUUAAGUCAUCAGAAAAUGAUGUUUUCAUAUUUUAUACGCCGCAGUACAAUUCUUGUUUCUGAGCAUGUGGUCGGUCUCGAACCAUCGGCCCGAAAUGUAAUAAAUGCUUACUUAAUUUACUGAGUUCAGUUAUUAUUAUUAGUGCUUGUGAGCGUCGUGGUGCCAUGCAUGUGAUGGUGUGAAUGUGAAUGUGAUGGUGCCAUGCAUGCAUGAUGAUCAUAGAUAGAUAUACAUAUAUACCAGAUGCCGCGGUUCGUGCAGUUGUUGCCGACGCUGCAGUUCGGGAGGCGGCGGCGGUCGGGGGGGUGGCAGGCUUAGCGGCCGGCGCGGAGGCUAGAGAUGUGGGNGGAGAAGCCCGAAGCCCACGACGAGACCCACCACCACCAACAGGAUCACCACGAAGAAGAAGAUCUUCGUCGCCUUCCCCACGUAGCACAUUGCUGUAGAGAGAGAGAGAGAGAGAGAGAGAGAGAGAGAGAGGGAGAGAGAGAGAGAGAGAGAGAGGGGGGAUGGUAAAAUAUGAGUUGUGGGAGAUGUGGAGGGUGAGGGCUUUUAUAGCCUCAUGUUUGGGUAAAAUUACAUAUAUACCCUUGGAGAAUUGGCUAUUUACAUGUAUGUACAUUUUUAUGAAAAAAAAAAACUUCAAAUACGCCCCUUGUGGUUUCACUCUUUCUCGCUUUAGUACCAUGUGGUUUAAAGUGUAUCAAGUUUGUACCGAGUGGUUUCGCAUUUUCUCACUUUAGUACCCAGUGGUUUAAAGUGUAUCAAGUUAGUACCCUGUGGUUUCGCACUUUCUCACUUUAGUACCCUGUGGUUUAAUAUUUCAUUAAGAGAAAAAUAAAACCACAGGAUACUAACUUGAUACAAAAAUAAAACUACAGGAUACUAAUUUGAUAGAAAAAUAAAACCACAAAGUGCUAACUUGAUACACUUUAAACCACAGGGUACUAAAGUGAGAAAGUGCGAAACCACAGGGUACUAACUUGAUACACUUUAAACCACAGGGUACUNUUUUUUGGAAUGUACUUACAUUGUACACAUCACUCACUUUUAGGAUAAGAAUAUUUUCUCUUAUCACACCCUUUUUUUAGUAUGAGUGGGAUAUAAGAUAUGCACACUAAAGGGGAUGUAUAUUUAUCAUUGUUUUAAAAAUUAAUUGUUAAUUUCUUCAUCAUCCUUCUAAAAGGGUUGUAAUCUCACAAAUAUUAUUAAUAGUGUUCUUAUGGACAUAAAGGAGAACAGGGUUUGUGGUUUUAGAGCGGCUUUUGUCGAAGAUUUAUAUAUUUAGAGGGGCAUGAAUGAUAUUUUAAAUUUUGAAGGGGUAUGUAUAUGUAUAUUUUUAAAGUUUUAGAAGGGUUAUAUAUGCUUGAAAUUGCUUCAAAAAACUAAUUUUGUAUAUAUAAGCUUUGAUGUCGUUGGAUCUUCAAGAUACUAAGGUUCUGUUUGGAAUUAUGGAGAGGUUGUGUAGGCUGCGAUAAAAAAAUACCGCGGAAUAUGUAUCGGUGUUGGUUAACUUCAAAUAUCUUGGCUCUAUUUAUCUGCAAUGAGAAAGUACGUACGAUGAGAAUAUAUUUUAAUUUAUUUUCGUGUGUAAUAUUAUGUUGUGCAUAUCACAAUAACUCAGUUAUAUAUACAGGGUUUAUCUACAAAAAUAAGUUAAAUCAAAGAGGGACAAAUUGUUUACCUUAUUUUGUUACAUUUACAGAAUUUAUUCAUGAAAAUUCAUAAAUUUUAGUAACUCAUAUUACAAUUGAAAAACUAUAUGAAAAAAAAACAAAGGGUAAAAUGCUACAUUUUUCAAAUAUAAAUAGUAAAUAAAAAAAUGCAUUAUACUAACUUUUUUUUAAAAUUUUUUAUUUUAGAAAUUUUGAUUCUCAUAGAUGUAGAUUAUCUCUUAUAAGGACACGAAAAUAAAAACCCAAAAGACAAAAGAUAAAUUAGUAAUUAAUUAAUUAAUUAUAAAAUUAUGUUCUAGUGUACUCUAGAACAUCCUUAUGUACUACACUUUAAUUUGAUGUAAUUAUAAAUACAAUAUAGUUAAAAGUAUAUAUCAUCAUACGAUAUCUAUAAUUAAAGUAAAUUAUACUUUUGAUCCUUAAAUUAUAAGGCGGGUGAUACUUUGGUCUCCAAAUUUUAAUUUGCUAUGAUUUUUUACUCAAACAUUCUAAAUUAUUGCUUUCACAAUCUAAUUGACUGAAUAUUAACAAAUUAUUAAUGUAGAAGUAUUGUUGUUGAUAAUGCGACAAUAAUUAAGAUGUUAUAUUACUUCUAUUUCGCCAACUAAAUUAGAUUGUGGGACUUGAUUACGAUAAUUCAAAAAGUUCGAGUCAGAAAUUACAACGGAUUAAAGUUCGGAGACCGAAGUGUCACGCGUCUCAUAAUUUAUUGACCAAAAGUAUAAUUUACCGUUAUAAAUAUCUGCAUCUAUUAGGUAUAGUAGAAAGUACUGUAAUUAUAAAUAAUUUAUUUACUUAUAUACAGUUGAAAAGUGCACGUAUAAAAAUUUUAUUAUUUUAUAUAUGAGAUGAUUAGAUUACUUUCUCCGUAGAGUAAAAAAAAAAAUAAAAUGGUUAUUGAGGUAUGCUUGCGUACAUUUUGUUAAAGUUACUUUUCUGACUAUUGCAGUUGAAACUUCAGUUUGGAAGUAAUUCAAUUGCUGCAGUUGAGCAUCCUUAUGUAGAUUAGCACACAAUUAUAACAAAAUUUUUUAUAGUAGUAAUUAAUUACGUGCAACUAAAUAACCCCGAAAACCAUUCAGACCUGCAGGAUAAAUAAUUUGGGGUUAAUUUCAUACAUGUCCCUGCAAACAUAGUGAAUAGCAAAUAUAUUCCUACAAAGUUCAACUUUCAUAUAUUGUUUUUGCAAAAAUCCUGAUGUUUUCAAAUAUGUCUCUGCCGUUAGAAUCUAUUAAGAAAAGUUAGUUAACCACAGGUUAAAUACUUAACCCUAGUCAGUUUUUGACAUUUUUACCCCUUUGUAUUAUACUAGUAUGGCUUUUGGAGGGAUAUAUUUGUGAUGGUAAUAUUGAAAAUAUAAACGAUUCUCUGACGGUAACAAAUUAGAGGGACAUAUUUGAAAACAUUAGAACUUUUGUAGAGACAAUAUAUAAAAGUUGAACUUUGUAGCGAUAUAUUUGUCAUAGACUAUGUUUGCAGGGAAUUGUAUGAAAUUAACCCAAUAAUUUGUGGUCACAAAAAAAAAAAAAAUUGAGACCCCUUCUACUAUAUAUUAAAAGAUUUUUGAUUUUUUUUAAUAAAUUAACUAAUUUUAGUAAAAAAAUUUAGUAAUUUUAUCAAAUUCAUUAAUAAUUACACCAAAUUUAAUAGCUUUAAUUACUUUUUAGCAAAUUAAAUGAGAUAAAUUAAUGAUUAAUUACUAAUAGAGCCAUUAAAUUUAAUAAAAGUAUUAACUUAAUUGGCAUUAAAAUUCAAACAAAAAAAUUGGAAGAUGAAGGAGUUUCAAUAAAAAAAAUAUAAAAUUCGAGGGGACUACUUCAAAAUAGUCUAUAUUAGAUAGUGUUCCUAUCAGAAGUGUCAACGAGCCGAACACGAGCUGGCUUGUUAAAGUAUCGAGCCGAAAAAUUCAGCUCGUGCUCGGCUCAUUAAUAAACGAGCCAAACACAAGCUAAAUACGAGCUGGCUCAUGGACAACAAGUUAAAAGUAUUAUAAAAGAUACGUAUAGAAAAUAAAUUUAUAAAAUCUUACCCAUUUGACUUUGAUCUAAUAGUUGAAAUUUUACAUAUAAAUAAUUUUUUUUAUAAUUGAGUUAGCUUUAUAUUUAGGUUAAGCUAAAAUAAAUUAUUUAUUUAUAUACAUAAAUAUAACAUAUAUGUAUUCGAGCUGUUAUCGAGCCGAACACGAGCGAGCUUACCCUAGCUCGCGUUCAGCUCGUUUAUUAAACGAGUUGAAAAAUUCAGCUCGUGUUCGGUUCGUUUAUUAAACGAGUGAUUCAAUCUCGAGCUCACUUCGAGUCGAACGCUAGCUGGCUCGCGAAUAGCAAGUUGGAUUGCGACCCCUAGUUCCUAUACAUUUUUAUCUAAAUAUAAGGCUAAAUUAUAAAAUUUUUCCUCACACUUUAAUAAAGUUUUGCUUCAAUUUGAAUCCAACAUUUUUGCCACAUUAUCAAUAUGCCCUUUUUUUAAAUAUUGGAAUUUAGAUGUAGAACUUAAUAAAAAUGAGUUGAACAAUAAUAACUGUUAUAUUCCAAAAAAUAUAACCACAUAAAUUAAAUAAAUGAUCUCGUUAUCGAUUGAUUUUGAAAGUUCUAAGUACAAAAAUAAUUUCUUUUACUUUUAUUUAGAUAUAUUUUGUAAGUGGAAUCUUAGAUAGAUGUUUAGUUAUGGAAUUAAUGUGAUAUAACAAAUCAUUUAGGUGAAGUUUCCGGAUCCGAAUUUUUUAAAAAAAACUUGUCAGACCUAUUUUGAACUGGUGAUCUUUGAUUGAGUAACAUUUUCAGAUCGUUGUUUAACCCGAUUUUUAAAACAUUGAAAAUUUAUUACUAUGAAAUCAAAUUGGGAUGACAUAAGAUUGUAACAUCUCAUGUGAGACCCCAUAUAGUCUUAUAUAUAAGAUAUAAUAGGGUUAGAAUUCUUAAUCCGGCUUAAACAUUUUGGGCGAUGGCUAGGCCCAAGAGGUUAAGAGAGUUAAGCGUGCUACAACGAGAGUAGUCUUAGGAUGGAUGACCUCCUGGGAAGUCGGAGCUAGCGUCACAGUUGAUAUUAAAGCCAAUUACCAGCCGGAAGUGUGAGAUGAGUUUCGGCUGAGCCAGGGUCGGAAUGACAAGACUAACGAGACGAGUCUUACAUCGCCUGAUAUUUGUGAGUUUAAGCCUGACGAGGAUGUCAGGACUUAAAGGGAGGAAGAUUGUGAGACCCCAUAUAGUCAUAUAUAUAAAAUAUAAUAGGCUAGAACUCUUAACCCGGCUUAAGUAUUUUAGGCGGUGGAUAGGUCUAAAAGGUUAAGAGAGUUAAGUGUAUUAGGACGGUAGUAGUUCUAGGAUGGGUGAUUCCCUGGGAAGUCGGGGCGUCACAUCUCAACAGUCCCAAAUUGUAUAAUGUGGAAGAGUACGAGGAGAUUAUAUGUGGCGGACACAUAAAACUAAUAGCUGAGCGUAAGCAUUGUGUGCAUGAAGGUGAUUUAGGCUUAAAGAGUUAUUAGUGUGGAUGGACGGGAUGGACAAAAUUUCUUAACUAUUGCUCAUUUGGAUUUGACUAUCUAAUUUUUAAAAAUUUUGAUUUUAUUACCCGACCUUCCAAUUUAUUUGAUUUGAACCAAUUAUGACUCUUGAUUUUCAAAGUUUGAAUACCGGCUUUUAUGCUUACGGGUUUAGCCAGUAUUUUUUAUACAACUUAUGUAAAUAUAAAGUUAUUAAAGUCUCCAAUCAACUUCAAUUUUAUAUCCCGAAGAGCGAUCAAAAUUCUUAAAUCAAAUAAAUUGAAAGGUUGGAUACUAAAAUCAAAAUUUUGAUAAGUUGGAUAGUCGAAUCAAAUAGUCUAUAGGCCAGAUAAGUUUUAUACGUUUUUACCUUCAAAAUAAAAAUAAAAAGCAUUUUUGUAAUGCUAAGAAACGAACGGCCUCUUGGUGGUAAUCUCAUUUCGUUUGUUAAUCGCACAUUUAUUCGAGCUUCAAAAUAUAAUAAAUUAUCUUUAGUAGAGUCUAAUUAAGGUAGUGUGGGAAUAAUCAGUUUUCUAAAAAUCGGAUCGAACCGGCCGGUCGAACUGGCUAGACCGUGAUCCUAUCCCUAGGCCGGUUCAUUUUCAGACGGUUUUAACUGAACCGGUUUGAACCAGCAUUUUAACCGGUAAACAGGUGAACCAAUCAGGUUUUAACUGAACCGGUCCAAACUAUCACUUACCAUAGAUUAUCUAUCAGACGGUUCAAUCAGUUUGAUUUAUAUUUUUUAUUUGAAAACUUUGUAAAAUAAUUUAUUUAUCUUCUUGGAGUUUUAAAACAUUAGGAUAAUUAGUGUAUUAGAAGCUUCUCUUUUUAAAAUCUCUUAUUGGGUUCUUUGGAUCCAAAAUGGAGAAUCAAUUCUAGGAUUCAAAUAAUUAAGAUACAAAAAGAAAAGAAUUUUUUUUGGAACAUGACUAAAGAGAUUUUGCUUUUAGAUUGCUUUGAUUUAGUGCAAAAGUGAUCUUAAGUGGAUACUUAUUCCCUCAUCAACAUAUAAAGUAAUAGAUAAGGAGGAUCUAAUUAACAACCUAUGAAGGGGGAAUAUAUAGAUAUAUAGACUAGGUUAAUUUGUAACACUAGUGCCUAAACACUGACCGUCCCUAGAGCAAGUGGCAAAGGACUUGGUGGUUGGUAUUCGAGACCCAAGUUCGAAUCCUAGUUGAUUCACAUUUCUACCUAAGUUUAUUUCUAAAUGAAAUAAACGAAGCGGGUAGCGUGCUACCUAUUUCUCAAAAAAAAAAAAAAAAAAAAAAAAAAAAA
rnacentral:lncRNA from 1 species